GAUUCCACAAAUCCAUCUGUGUACACUCCCUCGUGCCUUGUCCAUAGAAGAGGCAUAACAGUAAUAGUUAUUACAGCUAGCAUUUAUAUAGGGCUCUAAAGUUUGCAAAGUAUCUCAAUUGAUCUUCACCUCAAUCCCAGGAGAUACUAGAUACUAUUAUUGUGCCCAUUUUAUAGUUAAGGAAACUGAAGUAAGCAAAGAUUAAGUGCCUUCCUUCUUCCAGAUCUUGUAGCGACUCUCUGAGGCUGGAUUUGAACUCAGCCUUCCCGAGUCUAGCCAGAAAGCUUUCUAUCCGCUGUACUAUGUAGCUGCUUAUUAAUGCUGUAAUUCAUGAAUGCUUCUGAACUGACUGAUGAUUAAUUGAUAUGAGUUCAUAGAUCCCCACUAGGUAAUGAGGACAACCUAACCUAGUUUAUGUGCAAAGAGCCCCAGGAGUACCUGAGUGAAGAGAAGAUGAGAAUUAGGACAUUCACAAACAGAGGCAAAGCGAAGCCACCCAAGGGGACAGCCGUGGAGAAAGUGGAUCUUUCUCCAUGUCCUGGCCACGUCCAUGAAUCACUGUGGUAGGUAAGGCAGAAGGAAGACUAUAUUUGGCAUCCGAAUACAAGAGUUCAAUGACUGACUCUGACAUCUGCUCUUUGAGUGAUCACGAACAUGAAGUCACAGAGGCACAAAGGAGGAUGACAUGGCUGGGAAUGGGGAGAGAGGCAUGAUGGAGGGAUUCCCUAGACCCGGGCAGCAGAGGUGAGACCUCUCAGGAGUGGCCCAAUGGUCCUGCCCAGGCUUCAGGUUGAGCAGAUGGCAGAAGUUCUGGGAGGUCAAUGCUUGGCAUCAUUGCAGGGUACCAGAAGCAUUGGCAUCAAGAAAUAAAAAGAACAUAUUCUGCUAGUCAUCUGAAACUAAAAGGGGAAAUUGAAGAAAGAACGUGUCAUUUGUUGGAAUUUCCUCCAAUCCUGGAACAGAUGAGGAAACCAAGGCCCAGAAUACAGAAGUGACCUUCCCAAAGCCAUAGAGAGAAAGCACACACCAGGAUGGAAUCUAAGUGCACCAAAAUGGUAGUCUAAUACAUCUCUCCACUGUACCAGAAACAUUUCGGGGAAUGAAAAAGUCUCCCAUCCUCAUUCUCCUCAGUUACAGGAGAGAAGAUAGACAAAAGUCCUUAAUUGUCUAUUAGAAACUAAUUACUAGCAUCCAAUGUCCCGUGGCCUCCUGCAAGUAAUAGUGCUGACAGUGUGAAGGCUGGUUUGAGCUUCAGAAGGCAGCUUUACUGAAGAGUAUCCAUAGCAAGAUAAGAAAGAAAGAAGAAGAGAAAGAGCCUUUCCUUGUGACUUCAUUAGGAAUGAGCUAACCUCUCCUUUAAUGUCCAAAUGAUCAUUUAUUUUCCUCCAAAAGGGAGUAUACUCUUUAAACUUCAUUUUCCGUGUUUCCUUUUUGAUCUGUGUUUUCUUUUGCAAUGGGGCUAAUCUGGAAAUAUAUUUUACAUGACUUUACAUGUAUAAUCUAUAUCAAAUUGCUUCCCUUCUCAAGGAAAGGGAGAGGAACAGGAGGGAGGCAGAGAAUUUGAAAUUCAAAUGUUUUUAAACUGAUUGAUUUAAAAAAAUAAAAGCAACUG
rnacentral:lncRNA from 1 species